GAGUAAAGUAUUAAGGGCGGACGGAGGAUGCCUUGGCAUUUGUCAGCGAAGAAGGACGCGGUAAGCUGCGAAAAGCUUCGGGGAGGCGCAAACAACCAUCGAUCCGAAGAUAUCCGAAUGGGGCAACCCCUCCGGCGCAGGCCGGAGACCUGUUUGAACAGGGGCGAAGCCGGCGAAGUGAAACAUCUCAGUAGCCGGAUAUAAAAGAAAUCGAAGAGAUUCCCUAAGUAGUGGUGAGCGAAAGGGGAUAUGAGCCUAAACCGCGUACGUGCAAGCCCGCAAGCGUUGCGUAGGGCGGGGUAAUAGGGUCUUGCUGGGAAGAGUUGCGGCCCUUCCAGGCAGUUACAAAGGACAACGGUUAGUUGAACGGUAUUGGGAAAGCCGACCGCAGAGGGUGAAAGUCCCGUAAGCGAAAACCUUGUCUCUGCCUGAGCAGGUACCCUGAGUAGGCCGGAGCACGUGAAAUUCCGGUUGAAUUCGGGCCGACCAUGGUCCAAGGCUGAACAUGACAAAUGACCGAUAGUGAAACAGUACCGAGAGGGAAAGGUGAAAAGC
rnacentral:rRNA from 1 species